CGUAGUCGGCAAGCGUUGUCCGGAAUUAUUGGGCGUAAAGGGAGCGCAGGCGGGAAGUUAAGCGGACUUUAAAAGUGCGGGGCUCAACCCCGUGAGGGGUCCGAACUGACUUUCUUGAGUGCAGGAGAGGGAAGCGGAAUUCCUAGUGUAGCGGUGAAAUGCGUAGAUAUUAGGAAGAACACCAGUGGCGAAGGCGGCUUUCUGGACUGUAACUGACGCUGAGGCUCGAAAGCUAGGGUAGCGAACGGGAUU
rnacentral:rRNA from 1 species